rnacentral:rRNA from 1 species
CCUACGGGAGGCAGCAGUGAGGAAUAUUGGUCAAUGGGCGCGAGCCUGAACCAGCCAAGUAGCGUGAAGGAUGACUGCCCUAUGGGUUGUAAACUUCUUUUAUAGGGGAAUAAAGUGCAGUAUGUAUACUGCUUUGCAUGUACCUUAUGAAUAAGGAUCGGCUAACUCCGUGCCAGCAGCCGCGGUAAUACGGAGGAUCCGAGCGUUAUCCGGAUGUAUUGGGUUUAAAGGGAGCGUAGGCGGGUUGUUAAGUCAGUUGGGAAAGUUUGCGGACCAAACGGAAAAUUGCAGUUGAUACUGGCAGCCUUGAGUACAGUAGAGGUAGGCGGAAUUCGUGGUGUAGCGGUGAAAUGCUUAGAUAUCACGAAGAACACCGAUUGCGAAGGCAGCCUGCUGGACUGUAACUGACGCUGAUGCUCGAAAGUGUGGGUAUCAAACAGGAUUAGAUACCCUGGUAGUC